rnacentral:rRNA from 1 species
CCUACGGGGUGCACCAGUGGGAAUAUUGCACAAUGGGCGCAAGCCUGAUGCAGCCAUGCCGCGUGUGUGAAGAAGGCCUUCGGGUUGUAAAGCACUUUCAGCGGGGAGGAAGGCGAUAAGGUUAAUAACCUUGUCGAUUGACGUUACCCGCAGAAGAAGCACCGGCUAACUCCGUGCCAGCAGCCGCGGUAAUACGGAGGGUGCAAGCGUUAAUCGGAAUUACUGGGCGUAAAGCGCACGCAGGCGGUCUGUCAAGUCGGAUGUGAAAUCCCCGGGCUCAACCUGGGAACUGCAUUCGAAACUGGCAGGCUGGAGUCUUGUAGAGGGGGGUAGAAUUCCAGGUGUUGCGGUGAAAUGCGUAGAGAUCUGGAGGAAUACCGGUGGCGAAGGCGGCCCCCUGGACAAAGACUGACGCUCAGGUGCGAAAGCUAGGGGAGCGAAUGGGAUUAGAUACCCCCGUAGUC